rnacentral:lncRNA from 1 species
UGCUGCCACACACACUCCCUGGAGAAGCUCAUCCUCUCUCGUGGGACAUGCAAAUUACUCUCAAAUCCCUGUCUCCAAUGGAACUCUUUGCCCUAGCUUCUCCCAUAGGCAACACAAAGCCAGCACUCCCAAAAUGGCAGUGGGAGCACAGUCAUUUUCCUUGCUGGCUCUGGUUUUCCCCUCAGCGCAAAGUGGCUCGUCCUCCUCCUCCCUGCCCACUCAUCUCUUCACUUGGUGGAACCUUAUUCAUCCUUAACACCAGGUAAGUUGUACCCUCUUCAUCACUCCUCCCUGACCAUCUUGUAAAUGCUCCUAUAAUGCCCUGAGCCUAUCCCCUAUGUUAUGGGUUGAAUUCUGUUUCCAAAAUUAGUGUAUUGAAGUCCUAACCCCAGAACCUCAGACUGACCUUAUUUGGAAAUAGAAUCAUUGCAGAUGCAAUUAGUUAAGAUGGGGUCCUAUUGGAGUAGAGUGGGCCCUAAUCCAAUAUGACUAGUGUUCUCAUAAAAAGGAGAAAUUAGGACACAGACCCACACAGACCUACAAAAGCACCAUGGGAAGAUAAAGCCAGAGAAGGGAUAAUGCUUCCACAAGCCAAGGAACACCAGAGAUGACCCACAAACCUCCAGAAGUUGUGGGGGGCCUGGAACAGAGCCUUCCCUGGCAGCUCUUAAAAGGAAGCUCUGGCCUCUAGAAAUGGGAGACAAUACACUUCUAUUGUGAAGC